rnacentral:lncRNA from 1 species
GACAGUUCUGCAAUAAGGCCAAAUCCAAGGUUUUCUUUGGCAAAGGUGUUCCGGUUCAGCUGAGACGUCGACUACAGCGGGAUCUUGGUUUCUCCACUGGUUCCCUUCCUUUUAUCUAUUUGGGUGUCCCCAUUUUUGCUGGUCGUGCCACUGCCGCCCGUCUCAUCAGCACUCGUGAUCGCAUCAUCGCCCAUUUUCCUAGAUGGCAGGGCACGCAGUUAUCUAUGGCGGGCCGUCUUUGCCUCGUCACUUCUGUCAUUCAGAGCGCGGCUGUUCACAGUAUGCUGAUAUAUCGUUGGCCAGCUAAGCUUCUUCAUGAUUUGGAUAGAGCUUGUCGGUCGUUUAUUUGGACUGGCUGCACUACUUCUAGGCCUAAGUCUUCUGUGGCUUGGAAUCGGGUUUGCGCCCCCAAGACUCAGGGUGGGCUUAAUGUGAAAUCCUUUACACACAUCAGCCAAAGUUUCAUGUUGAGGUUAGGCUGGUUGCUGAUUACUGCGGAUUCGAUGGGCUUUCAGUUGUUUCGCCAGCGAUAUCUGGAUGCGUGCCUCAGACCUCGCUUCCCUUGGUUCUCUUCUACGAUUUGGUUGGGCACUCGGGCUGCUAUUCAGACUCUCCUCAGCGACACUCACUGUUCUAUAGGUUCUGGUUCUACUAUUCUUUUUUGGACUGAUAACUGGUUAUGGUAUCGUCUGGUUGAUAGAAUCGGCAUUCCGGCUACUUUUCAUCGCGCUCUUUUGCAGCCAAUCUCGGAUUACUACUUUGAUGAUACCUGGCACUUUACUUUGGAUUUUUUACAGAUCUUUCCGAAUAUUGCCUUUGAUAUUGUCUCGGUUCCUAUUAGCGAGGGAGAGGAUCGAAGAGCUUGGACCCAUUCUCAUUUUGGUGAAGUCUCCGCGUCGCUUGCUAUGGAUCAUAUUCGUCCCUGCUUUCCGACCGUCGAUUGGGGUAAGUGGAUCUGGGCUCCGUUUAUCCCAAAGCGGCGUUCCAUUAUCACUUGGCGGGUGAUUCUGGGUCGUCUUGCGACGGCUAGCUCUCUUCGUCGUUCAGGGCUGGUUGGUCCGGGCUGGUGCCCACUCUGCCGGAAUGCGAAUGAGGAUAUUGAUCAUCUUUUUUGGGACUGUACUUUUGCGCGACAAAUAUGGCGCUCCCUUUUCAGCUGGUUCAGGGUGGAUAGCCCGCUGAUUCACGACAUUGGGAGUCUGCUCCUCUGGGCUAUGAAGGUGCAGGCUAGCAAGCAGGUUGAAAAUCUCUGGCGAAUGGGUGUUAUGUCCACUAUUUGGAGCAUCUGGAAUAUUCGUAACAGAGUUGUAUUUGAUGCGGCUUCUGUCUCUGAGAGGGCUCUUUCGAUCCAGAUCAAAUCUUUUAUUUUGGAAACUUCCCAAUUAUGUUCUGGUGAGAUGGCUAACUCUGUUGAGGACUUACUGAUUCUUCAUGGUCUUGGGGUGCCAAGCAGACCUCGUCGCCCGACCUCUUAUGUUUAUGUUUUCUGGAUUCCGCCUCCGACUCCUUGGCGCAAAAUCAAUAUUGAUGGCUCGGUUCAUGGCUCCCCUCCUCUGAUUCACGCUGGUGGAGUUAUCAGAGAUUCUUCUAGCGUCCUGGGUUGUUUUCAUUUCUCUGCUGGACGUGGUUGGGCUUUUGAGGCAGAGCUGCUUGCCCUCAUCAUUGCUUUGGAGCAAUCUGUCAAUCAUGAUUGGAGACAUGUUUGGAUCGAGACUGACUGCGCUUAUUUGGUGGAUCUUUUCCGUUCUCGGUCAGACACGGUUCCUUGGAGGUUCUUCAGCCGCUGGCGUAAGGUUCUCUCUUCCCUUGAUGGUUUUCAUUUUAUUAUCACUCACAUCUACAGGGAAGGGAACCGGGUUGCGGAUUGUUUGGCUUCUUCUGUAGCGGAGGAAGGCUAUUGGAAUUUUACGAUCCCGGAUAUCCUACAGUUGGUGAAGGAUGACAGGCGGCAACUUCCUUACAUUCGGGUUGUCAAUUGAGGUGUUCUUCUUUCUUGGGUGUUCCUCUCCCUUUUCUUGCUUGCGUUUUGUUUGUUUCGUUUGUUUGUUAGUGAUUCUGCCUGUCUGGUGUGAUGACUUCUCCCUUUCGCACUUUCUUGCCUCUCUUACUUCUUUGGUCCAGCUUGGUCUCCUUGGGGCACUGGUUUGUGUUUGUUUGGGUUGUUAAUCUGGUUCUUUUGGUCCUGCUGUCCGGGUGUUGGGAAGGUUUCCAAAGUUUGGGUAGUCACACUUGGCGGUCCUUGCUUGUCGUGAUUUGUCCGGUAGAUGCUAGCAGGAGUGUCUUCACUGCGAUAAGCUUAAUAUCUUCUCUGGUUGGUAUUGGAGUUUGCUGCUGGUCUUUGCUCCUCUGAUGGAUCCCUCAUUAUGAGCAUGGGAAAUCACGCGGGAAAACUUGGGUUACCACCAAUGGUUUCAUCCCGUGAUCUUGACCUUGAAAAGCACUUUUUGAGCAUAAGCUUAAUAAGUUUGAGAAUUGAUUAUAAAAGUAAUUGCUUUAGGAGAUUCACUGCUAGCGGAGAACUGGGUCUGAUCGUCUUGUUUGGUCUUCUCGCUGUGAUGUCCCUUGCUUUUGUUCUUCCCUUCAUCUGUGAUGGUUGGAUCUUUUGCUCCUGGGUUUGGUUGGUGCUUGUUUUGAGGUUGUGCCCCUCUGGAGUUCAACCUGUACUGAAGUUUGUUUGGUGGCCAGUUUGUCUUGUUUGGUUGGGUCUUCCCUCGAUGGGCUGGGGCUCGUUUUGUGGUGUUGUCCCCUCUUUUUCCUUUUCUGUGUUUGUUUGCUCUUUUUUGCUGUUUCGGUUUCCUCUUCCGUCGGUUGUUGGUUUUUGGCAGAUCUGCGCUUUUUCCCGUUUGCGCUGAUGCGGCGUCUCCAGUGGUUCCGGAGGUGACCAGAGCAGGGAAGAUUCAUGAUGCGUUCGGUGGGCAUCCUGUGCUGCCCGCUCGGCUUGGUCCGGCCACUGCAGAUUUCUCUGGAUGGCCAGUGCUGCCCCCUCGGGUUUUGUUGUUGGCUCUUUUGUGCUUGAGCUGUGUUUCUUCCGGCUUAGGGGGACGACUCGCCGAUGGGUUUUGGUUUGGCCGUAAUCUGUGGCGGCGAAUUUCCCGUCCCCCUGAACUGUGGUUUUGUUUUUUGGUUUUUCGUUAGGUCGUGUUGCGCCUUACAUUGGUCCCUUGCUGUACUGCUUUUCGUUAGACCAGUUUUGUAACAACUUUUCUUUCUUUCUUUUCAAUAAAAUUUUCAUUUCAGCUUGUAAUAAGGUUUCCCGGGGGACGAGAAUCAAUCCAAAAGGACCUAUAACGAAGGAGAUAUGGCCGAAAGAAAAACCGAAUUUCCAACCCUAGGCUCUGUACAACGUUUUUGGCGGCCAAAACUCGACUGUGAGAUAAUCGAAAUUCGACCAUAUGGGAAUGUAACCCUUGUAAUAAGGUUUCCCGGGGGACGAGAAUCAAUCCAAAAGGACCUAUAACGAAGGAGAUAUGGCCGAAAGAAAAACUGAAUUUCUAACCCUAGGCAGCUGUACUCUAUCAAUUCGAUGGUUCUUCCUAGACUUGGAUCCGAUCACUCCCCCAUUCUGUUGAAAUGUCAGGACACGGCUACUCCUCCCAAGGGUCGUCGAUUUCGUUUUCUUAAUAUGUGGUGCUUACACGAGGGAUUUCUGGAUCAGGUCCGUGCUUCUUGGUCCCAACCGCUGGAUUGUCUCUGCCCGAUGGUUCGAGUUAUGAAAAAGCUGAAACGUCUUCGCCCGACUCUCAAGACUUGGAAUAAGGACACUUUUGGGAAUUACAAUGUUACCCUCGCCGAUCUUCAGCAGGAUCUGAGUUCACUUCAGGAGAAUAUUGACGAACGAGGGUAUACAGAUGAGCUCUUUGAUCAAGAGGUUAACUUGCAAGCUCGCAUAGGAUCGGUCCUUCUGCGUAAGUCUGAGCAUCUGCGGCAGCAAAGUAGGGUCUCUUGGCUUUCUGAUGGAGAUAGGAACACUCGCUUCUUCCAUUCUAUGGUUAAGUGGCGUCGUUCCAAUCAAAAUAUUAAGAAGCUUAAUAUUGAUGGGGUUAUCUCGGAGGACCCGGGUGUCAUGGCGGCCCAUGUGAUUCAUUUUUAUGAGGAUCUCUUUUCGGAGCCGAUUUCUCCGCCGGUGGAUAGAUCUUGGAUUUCCGGUUACAUUCCAGCUUCAGUCUCCCCUGCCCAGUCUGACAUGCUCGUUGCUACUCCCUCUGCUGAGGAUAUUCGGCUGACUGUCUUCUCCAUGGAUAUGAAUAGUGCCCCUGGACCAGACGGGUUUAACGGCGCUUUCUUUAAGCAUUCGUGGGAGGUGGUUGGGGAGGACCUUAUUGCUGCCGUUCGUCGGUUCUUCACUCAUAGCUAUCUUCCCCAGGGCCUUAAUUCCAACUUGCUUUGCCUUCUCCCAAAGAAGACUGAUGCGGUUCUUGUCUCUGACUUCUGACCUAUUGUGUUGGGAAAUUUCCUUUCUAAGGUCAUCACCAAGAUUCUUGCCUCUAGGUUGAACGAGGUAGCUGCUGUUAUUGUCUCGGCCAAUCAGUUUGGGUUUAUCUCUGGGCGUUCUAUACAGGAAUGUAUUCUGCUGGCCUCUGAAGGAGUGAAUUGCAUGGAGCGCUCAAUUCAAGGGAGGAACAUGGCUCUUAAGGUAGAUAUUCGGAAAGCUUUCGAUACCCUGAAUUGGGAUUUUGUGGAGGUUGUGCUGGAUUGCUUUGGUUUCCUUCAGACUUUCAGACACUGGAUUAGAGUUAUUUUUCAAUCUGCCAGAAUUUCGGUUCUCUUUAAUGGAGAGCAGCAUGGUUACUUUGGUUGCUCUCGAGGGGUUCGUCAGGGAGACCCUUUGUCUCCGGUUCUGUUUGCUUUGGCGGAGGAGGUCCUGAGUAGUAUGCUCUCGGACGCUGCUGAUAGGGUAUUCUAUUUGCCCCGUAUGAGGAUGUCCCGCUCUUUUGCUUUUUUCCCCUCUUCAUCUCCUGUAUGCUGAUGAUGUCCUACUUUUUUGUAAAGCUACUUGGCGCAGCUGCAGGAUGAUUGAAUCGAUUCUUCAUAUAUAUGCUUGGUUUCUGGACAGUUCUUCAUAAGGCCAAAUCCAAGGUUUUCUUUGGCAAAGGUGUUUCUGUUCAGCUGAGACGUCGACUACAGCGGGAUCUGGGUUUCUCAACUGGUUCCCUUCCUUUUAUCUAUUUGGGAGUCCCCAUUUUUGCUGGUCGUGCUUCUGCUGCCCGUCUUAUCAGCACUCGUGAUCGCAUCAUCGCCCAUUUUCCUAGAUGGCAGGGCAUGCAGUUAUCUAUGGCGGGCCGUCUUUGCCUCGUCACUUCAGUCAUUCAGAGCGCGGCUGUUCACAGUAUGCUGAU